UGGCGGUCUUCUCCUUGGGUCUUCAC
rnacentral:piRNA from 1 species